rnacentral:rRNA from 1 species
UACGUAGGGUGCGAGCGUUGUCCGGAAUUAUUGGGCGUAAAGGGCUCGUAGGCGGUCUGUCGCGUCGAAAGUGAAAACCCAGGGCUUAACCCUGGGCCUGCUUCCGAUACGGGCAGACUAGAGGUAUGCAGGGGAGAACGGAAUUCCUGGUGUAGCGGUGAAAUGCGUAGAGAUCGGGAAGAACAUCAGUGGCGAAGGCGGCCUGCUGGGCUGUUGCUGACACUGAGGCGCGACAGCGUGGGGAGCAAACAGG